UCGGAUAUGGUGUAACGGCUAACAUGGCUGUCUUUCACACAGCAGCCCCGGGUUCGACUCCCGGUAUCCGAA
rfam:Scleroderma citrinum Foug A unplaced genomic scaffold scaffold_33, whole genome shotgun sequence.